rnacentral:rRNA from 1 species
CAGAAUGUGGUCAUUAAGUUCGAAGGAUUGGAGUUUCACGCAAAUCUUAUUGUGUUGGAAAAUAAAGGACUGGAUGUCAUCCUAGGGAUGGAUUGGCUGACCACCAACAAGGGUUUUAUCGACUGUUUCAACAGGACCGUAAUUAUCACACACCACCAAGGGAAGACAAUAAGAGUAUCAGCCAAGGAAGGAAAAAUAUCCCGGCAACCGAGAUUAAAUAAGGUGGACGUUUCUGAGCUAAACAAGGUUCCAGUAGUGUGUGAAUUUCCAGAUGUAUUCCCUGAAGAACUACCAGGCAUGCCACCAGACCGAGAAAUAGAAUUCCGCAUUGAGCUAGCACCAGGAACCACCCCCAUAUACAAGAAACCAUACAGAAUGGCACCAUCCGAGUUGAUCGAGUUGAAGAAACAAAUAAAGGAAUUACUGGACAAGGGAUACAUUCGAGCCAGCUCCUCACCUUGGGGAUCACCAAUUUUAUUUGCCAAAAAGAAGGAUGGAACGCUGAGAUUGUGUAUUGACUAUCGAGCACUUAACAUGGUCACAGUCAAAAACAAAUACCCGAUGCCAAGGAUAAACGAUUUGUUUGAUCAACUCGCUCAGGCCAAGGUAUUCUCAAAAAUUGACUUAAGGUCAGGAUACCAUCAAUUGAAGGUACGAGCGGAAGAUAUCCCCAAAACAGCCUUCACCUCUAGAUAUGGACUGUACGAGUUCACAGUGAUGCCAUUUGGAUUAACUAACGCCCCAGCAUAUUUUGUUCACCUCAUGAACAAAGUAUUUAUGAAGUUUAUGGACAAGUUUGUCGUGGUAUUCAUCGACGAUAUUCUGGUAUACUCCAAGACACCAGAAGAGCACGCAGAACAUCUCAGGAUUGUGCUAGGAGAGCUCAGAAAACACCAAUUGUAUGCCAAGUUCAGCAAGUGCGAAUUUUGGCUAAGACAAGUAGGCUUUCUAGGCCACGUACUGACCCAAGACGGUAUCGCAGUGGACCCAGAGAAAGUCAAGGCCGUACUUGGCUGGAAGUCACCAGCCAGCGUAACGGACAUACGGAGUUUCUUGGGAAUGGCAGGAUAUUACCGCAGAUUUAUUGAAGGAUUCUCC